CAAAAAAUAGUUUAAUCAGAAUACUA
rnacentral:tRNA from 1 species